GGCAGCCCCUCGUGCGGCGUUCAUCCUGUCAACUCCCCCAGGGCCGGAAGGCAGCAAGGGUACCCAGGCUCUGACGGGUGCGCGAGGGGUCCUCGCA
rnacentral:SRP_RNA from 1 species